GGUUUGGAGGAGAGAGAUGGAAUACUUCAAGGGGUAGGAAAGCAGGAUAGUGGAUGCCACAGUGGAAGAUACGUGUGCAGAAGUGUAAAGCUGUGCAGAUGGUCCUUAACCUUUGUAGCCCUUCAGUUACAGACAAGUGUCUCAUCGCAGAUGCCUGAACUUCCCCUGCUGCAGAGCGCUCUGAUAGAAGGAAUGAUUAGAUAAGACUAUUUAAUAAACUGUUUCACAAAAAAAAUGUCACGUCAAGUGUGAUUUUCAAGUAUUGAAGUAUAGAGGGUGAGGGCUAGAAAUGCAAGAAGUUUCUUCUUUUCUCAUUUAGCUACAGCAGGAUUCGGAGAAGUGAAUUUUGCAAUGGAGUAUUGUUUUUUUUGUCCUUUCUGUUUUUUAGAGAAAGAGUGGUAGCAGUGUGGACUACCUGCACCCACAUCUCCCCUUCAACACUCUUUAGCACCAACAUAUUCACUUCCAGCUUCCAGAACAUUGUGGAUGCUUAUGGUGUGGCAUGUUACAGAGAGGUUAAUCCAGAUUUGGCAUAUGCUGUUUGGUGGGAGAUAUCUGAUUCUUCUGAUGGGGUUGUUCUCCAUUUAUACUGGUGCUGUUUAUAAUGAGUGCUUCAGUAAAGGACUCAAACCCAUGAUGCAGCCCUACAACUGGAGAAACAGAGGCGCAGCGCCUCCUAGUUACAGACACCAGCUCUAUAAACGCUCAACUAGGAGACCUGGGGGAGGAGGAGGAACAGAGGAUCAGGUCAGAAAGAGAAAAGAUCAAGACACCAUUUUACAAAUGAAGCUCAGCAUUAACAGAGUCAAGGACAGAGGUGAAAGGCUAACAUUCUGCUUGUAAGAAUUCAUAUUUUUUUAUCCGUAUAUACCAGAACUACUGAAAUACGUUAUGCUAUUGCAUAGAGGCUUUUAAGCACCAGGCGAUCCACAUCAUAGAGUACUGUCUGGGCUGAAUCUCCAACACCGCCUCGUACCUUCGACUCUGGGCCCUCAGCCUCACACAUGCACGUAUGCAAACACUCACAAGCAUCCACGAUAAUUGCAUGUUCACUUAUCAACCUUACAUUUUUCAUAGAAGUGAGUGUAGCCAUUUAUAACUUGAAUAUGCAACACUUUUCUGUAAUCAUCUGCUUCCAGUUAUUUUUAUCUGUAUAAAUAAAAGUCGUUGUGGUGCUUGAUUUUGAAAACUGGUAUUUUUUAACAUUAUUUUAAUGUAUUGUCGUAAUUACAAAUAGUUUUAACAUUUACUGCACUUUG
rnacentral:lncRNA from 1 species